UUAUGCAAAUGGUUCUGAACGCUUUCCUGUACGAAAUGUACAUACAUCUAAUCAGACAUAUAUGCGUGGCUUUAUCAUUUUCUGGCAUAUUUUUAUAGACCUUUUGUGCAUCAGUAUACCCUCAGUAUCAAGAACGAAACAACUUUUACAUUAGUCGAUCGGCGAUCUUGCUCCGUCACAGUGGUGGAGGAAUGGGGGAAAAAGAAGCACAUAUUUAAUGGCAAAUACGACAGUUAUUACAGUCGAUGCAGAGAAUGCAAUCAAUUAAUUGACAAACAGCGAUGAUCGAGCCCAAGCCAUGGCCGGUGAUCGUUGCAGAUGGCUGAAGAUUGCUGAAGAUGGCUGUAGAUGGUCGGAGAUGUGGAUGUGUAUUUGCCAGGC
rnacentral:lncRNA from 1 species